rnacentral:tRNA from 2 species
GUCUUCGUAGCUCAGUUGGUAGAGCAAUUGACUCUUAAUCAAUGGGUCCGGGGUUCGAGCCCCCGCGAGGACACCA